GUAGGUGGGCAAGCGUUGUCCGGAAUUAUUGGGCGUAAAGCGCGCGCAGGCGGUCCUUUAAGUCUGAUGUGAAAGCCCACGGCUCAACCGUGGAGGGUCAUUGGAAACUGGGGGACUUGAGUACAGAAGAGGAAAGCGGAAUUCCAAGUGUAGCGGUGAAAUGCGUAGAGAUUUGGAGGAACACCAGUGGCGAAGGCGGCUUUCUGGUCUGUAACUGACGCUGAGGCGCGAAAGCGUGGGGAGCAAACAGGAUUAGAUACCCUGGUAGUCCACGCCGUAAACGAUGAGUGCUAAGUGUUAGGGGGUUUCCGCCCCUUAGUGCUGCAGCUAACGCAUUAAGCACUCCGCCUGGGGAGUACGGCCGCAAGGCUA
rnacentral:rRNA from 1 species